rnacentral:rRNA from 1 species
CGCGUAGGUGGCUCUAUAAGUCCGUUGUGAAAGUCAAAGGCUCAACCUUUGAAAGCCGAUGGAUACUGUAGAGCUAGAGUCCGGAAGAGGCGAGUGGAAUUCCUGGUGUAGCGGUGGAAUGCGCAGAUAUCAGGAGGAACACCAAUAGCGAAGGCAGCUCGCUGGGACGUGACUGACACUAAGGCGCGAAAGCGUGGGAGCGAACA